UAGAAGGAGUCCUGAGAGGGGUAGA
rnacentral:misc_RNA from 1 species